rnacentral:tRNA from 1 species
GGUUGUGUAGUGUAGCGGUUAUCACUUCAGAUUUUGAUUCUGAUAACCCCAGUUCGAAUCUGGGCACGACCU